ACGAUGCCGAUAUAAAGUUACUAGUCACAGAGCUCGAGAGUUGCGCUGCCGACGGUUGCCGUGGCUUCUCGAAGGAGCAACAAACUUUUUUCAGUAACGAACAGUUGCAGUGAGUAUGAGAUACUCUGGAGACAAGGCGGGCCUGUAGUUUGGUCAUGACCCUGAGCGAGAUACUCUGGAGACACGGCGGGCCUGUAGUUUGGCCAUGACCCUGAGCGAGAUACUCUGGAGACACGGCGGGCAUGUAGUUUGGCCAUGACCCUGAGCGAGAUACUCUGGAGACAAGGCGGGCCUGUAGUUUGGCCAUGACCCUGAGCGAGAUACUCUGGAGACACGGCGGGCAUGUAGUUUGGCCAUGACCCUGAGCGAGAUACUCUGGAGACAAGGCGGGCCUGUAGUUUGGCCAUGACCCUGAGCGAGAUACUCUGGAGACACGGCGGGCAUGUAGUUUGGCCAUGACCCUGAGCGAGAUACUCUGGAGACAAGGCGGGCCUGUAGUUUGGCCAUGACCCUGAGCACUUGCUAAUAAAGGGUUCCCCGUGCUUCAAUAGCUGUAGAUCACGAGGUGUUGGAUUUCUUGUGCGCGUUCUCUGCAGUAUCGUGUCGUUCUGCGC
rnacentral:lncRNA from 1 species